rnacentral:rRNA from 1 species
UACGAAGGGUGCUAGCGUUGUCCGGAAUUAUUGGGCGUAAAGCGCGCGCAGGCGGUUCUUUAAGUCUGAUGUGAAAGCCCACGGCUCAACCGUGGAGGGUCAUUGGAAACUGGGGAACUUGAGUACAGAAGAGGAAAGCGGAAUUCCACGUGUAGCGGUGAAAUGCGUAGAGAUGUGGAGGAACACCAGUGGCGAAGGCGGCUUUCUGGUCUGUAACUGACGCUGAGGCGCGAAAGCGUGGGGAGCAAACAGG